rnacentral:snRNA from 1 species
GUGCUUGCUUCGGCAGCACAUAUACUAAAACUGGAACGAUACAGAGACGAUUAGCAUGGCCCCCGUGCAAGGACGGCACGCAAAUUCGUGAAGCAUUUCAUAUUUUU